ensembl:lncRNA
GCUCCAAGCAAGCACCCAGCCCCUAGCUUUCUGGGCCCCCUGGCCCUGGGGCUGGAUUAACUCCUCACAGGCCAUUGUUCAGGGUUCAAGGAGCCGCCCGCUCCUGGCAUUCUGGUUCCACCAGGAGUCUGGGCGGACAGGCGUGGCCGGGGCCUAAUGAGCAGGGUGUGCCCCGAGGAGUUGUUAGGAACAGGGUGACAGCUGUGGGCAGGUCCCCGCCCUCAGCUUGUGGGCGGGCCGGCUUGCACAAUAGUCACCUGGGCUGGGGGUACCGCACGGCAUCCUGGCCAAAUCUCCAGCAGCUCAUGGAGUCCGGAAUGAAAUCAGUCCUCCAAGUAAUAACCAAGUGGAAGUGGACUCAAAAUGCUGAGUGUUUGUGUGUCUUCGGGGGACUGUUUCUCUGUUUUCCAAAGCAGGUCUCCUGCCCGGCAGCAAAGUUCCUUUUUAUUGGAGCUUCCCAGGUAGCACUAUUGGUAAAGAACCUGCCUGCCAACACAGAAGAUGUAGGAGAUGUGGGUUCAACCCCCGGAUUGGGAAGAUGCCCUGGAGAAGGACAUGGCAACCCACUCCAAUAUUCUUGCCUGGAGAGAGGACUCUGGCUGGCUACGGUCCAUGGGAUCGCAGAGUGGGACACGACUGAAACGAUAUUGAUCUGUUGGUAUUCUGUAUAUAUUCUGGACACCAAAACUUUUUCAGAUAUAUGUUUGGUGAAUAUUUCUUUGUUAGACUGGCCUGCUGAUUUUUGUGACAAUGUCUUUUGAUUUUUAAAGAAAAUUUUGAUGAGGUCUAAUAUAUAAAUCUUCCAUUAAAAAAAUGGUUUGUGCUUUUCAUGAUCUGUUUAAUAAAACUGUCUUCUGCAAGGUCAUGAACAUUUUCUGCUCUGUUUUCUUUUGGAAGUUUUAUAGUUUUAGGUUGCCUGUUUAGGUCUAUAAUCCAUCUUAGCAUAGUUUUGGAG